CAUGUGUAAAGAAAAAAUCUCUGUGUAGUGAUAUUGGACAUGUUUCUAUUUUUAACAAAUGACUGAACUUAAUUAUUUGUGGUGAUUAGGAAAGUAGAGGAACAUAGAAUAAAUGUGUAAAAACUAUGGAGCUAUUGAAUGUGUUCAAAGUAUUAAAUUUUCAAAGAACUUAUUGUGUUAAAAAGGGGAUAUUUUACCACAAGGAGCCGCAUCACAAAAGGAUGUUCGGGGUUUGCUAAUUUACGGAAAAAGUAAUCUCACUUCGUACCCCGAAAAUUUAACCACAUAUGUGAAAAUGUCACAGCUUCGAAACGAGCUAUCAUACAUAUCCAAGUUUACGAUAUGGACUGAGCUACAGGAAAAAACGUUACCAUUAUCGCCUAUGGGAAAACAAUUAAAGAUAUUGAGCCAAUUUACAAAAAGAUAAAUCAGAAGUUUCCAGAGUGAUCUAUGGAUGAUUUCACCUUGUACACCCGGGAAAAUUGUGAAAAUGAUGUUCCAGACAUAUCAUUACUUUUUAACCUGAGAUGACAAACUAGAGGUUUUACAAGGUCCUGAAUAACUGAAAUGGACAAAAAUACACAGAUUUAUUCAGAAUGUCAUACCGAUGAAGAUCACAUAAAAAUAUUUGGAAAAAUCAGAACUAUGGAUUGCAAUAUGGGACAACAUCCCUAAUGCGCCUUGAAAUGAGGAACUCAAAAGUCAUGUGUAAAGAAAAAAUCUCUGUGUAGUGAUAUUGGACAUGUUUCUAUUUUUAACAAAUGACUGAACUUAAUUAUUUGUGGUGAUUAGGAAAGUAGAGGAACAUAGAAUAAAUGUGUAAAAACUA